AUUGAACGCUGGCGGCAGGCCUAACACAUGCAAGUCGAACGAGUGGCGGACGGGUGAGUAAUGUCUGGGAAACUGCCCGAUGGAGGGGGAUAACUACUGGAAACGGUAGCUAAUACCGCAUACCAUCGGAUGUGCCCAGAUGGGAUUAGCUUGUAGGUGAGGUAACGGCUCACCUAGGCGACUAUCCCUAGCUGGGCUGAGAGGAUGACCAGCCACACUGGAACGGAGGCACGGUCGAGACGCGUAGGUGAGGCAGGAGGGGGGAAUAUGGCACAAGGGGCGCAAGCGUAAUGCAGCCAUGGGGCGUGUAUGAAGAAGGCUUUCGGGGUGUAAAGUACUUGCAGCGGGGAGGCGUUACCCGCAGAAGAAGCACCGGCUAACUCCGGGCCAGCAGCAGCGGUAAUUC
rnacentral:rRNA from 1 species